rnacentral:ncRNA from 3 species
GUAACAAGGUUUCCGUAGGUGAACCU